AAAGCCUUUGAGAUUAGCAUUUCUCUUUCGUCAUGUGAAUUACACUCAAACUGUAGAUAAAAACCGAUAUUCCAUGUUUUAUUAUCAUUAUUUGACUUUGCGUUGCAAUUGAUCAUAAAGUAAGAUGCGUCUGUUGCUGCAACUUUCUCUGACAUGUUCGAUCAUUGCCGGAUGUUCCACGCAGAAUCGGCUUUCUCCAAUAUGCCCUACUUGCUUGCCGUGCUAUUACAUGGGACAAUGGUACCAGCACGGUUCGAGGAUCCCAGACGACUGCAAUACUUGUGGGUGCAAUAACGGGUCUGUGAUGUGUACUCUAAUUUACUGCAAAGAACGACGGUGCUAUUACAAGGGACAAUGGUACGAGCACGGUUCGGUGUUCCAAGACAAAUGCAAUACUUGUUGGUGCAACGACGGGUCUGUAGGAUGUACGAACAUUGACUGCCGAGAUAAACCAGGCGUAUGUCCUAGGCCUGGCUUUGGGGUAUGCUGGGAAGAGUGCAGUUCCGAUCAUGACUGCCCGGGUGUACAGAAAUGCUGCUUCAAUGGCUGCGGACAUACAUGCGAACAACCAAAUUGGCAGUAACACACCGUUUUUGUGGUUUUGUAGAGGUGACCCUUUUCAGCUAAAAAAAUAAUGUAUUUAACGGUACAGUACUUAAGAAAAUGUAUGUAUAAAGGACAAUGUACAUAUGUAUACGUUGUAAUAAACUGUC